GGGAGGUGUGUGUUUGGGGUCAGACCAACCCCCCACACUGGAGACGACUGCACACCUGGACCUUCAUAGAAAAAAUAGACCAAAUAAAGAAAAACCCUUGAAGGAGUAGGAGAGUGACAAGAAUCGUGCAAACUAACAGGCGGGCUG